GGACGUAAACGCACACAGCUAAACUUUUGGGAUAGAAAGGAUCAAAAUCUCAUGCUUCAGAUAGAGGAGAAUCUUGAAAGUAUCCGACACCAUCGGGAUCAAGAUCCCGGCACAGCUCAACCAGCCCCGGUCCAGCUGCUCAACCAGCCCCCCCCCCCCUGGUCCAGCUCAACCAGUCGAUGUUUUUUACGAGUCCGAGAUGCCGGACCAACCCCAAAUUCUGGAAAAAGAACCUGAAAAAGCUGUAAGUCGAAUACCAGUAAGGUAAAGCUAAGAUGGCGGAAGCAAGCCCAAACCCAACUGUCUUUGUGACCUGCAUUGACGAUAGUAUUCUUGGACGUAAACGCACACAGCUAAACUUUUGGGGUAGAAA